GGGUUGUGAGGUUAAGCGACUAAGCGUACACGGUGGAUGCCCUGGCAGUCAGAGGCGAUGAAGGACGUGCUAAUCUGCGAUAAGCGUCGGUAAGGUGAUAUGAACCGUUAUAACCGGCGAUUUCCGAAUGGGGAAACCCAGUGUGUUUCGACACACUAUCAUUAACUGAAUCCAUAGGUUAAUGAGGCGAACCGGGGGAACUGAAACAUCUAAGUACCCCGAGGAAAAGAAAUCAACCGAGAUUCCCCCAGUAGCGGCGAGCGAACGGGGAGCAGCCCAGAGCCUGAAUCAGUAUGUGUGUUAGUGGAAGCGUCUGGAAAGGCGCGCGAUACAGGGUGACAGCCCCGUACACAAAAAUGCACAUAUUGUGAGCUCGAUGAGUAGGGCGGGACACGUGGUAUCCUGUCUGAAUAUGGGGGACCAUCCUCCAAGGCUAAAUACUCCUGACUGACCGAUAGUGAACCAGUACCGUGAGGGAAAGGCGAAAAGAACCCCGGCGAGGGGAGUGAAAAAGAACCUGAAACCGUGUACGUACAAGCAGUGGGAGCACGCUUAGGCGUGUGACUGCGUACCUUUUGUAUAAUGGGUCAGCGACUUAUAUUCUGUAGCAAGGUUAACCGAAUAGGGGAGCCGAAGGGAAACCGAGUCUUAACUGGGCGUUAAGUUGCAGGGUAUAGACCCGAAACCCGGUGAUCUAGCCAUGGGCAGGUUGAAGGUUGGGUAACACUAACUGGAGGACCGAACCGACUAAUGUUGAAAAAUUAGCGGAUGACUUGUGGCUGGGGGUGAAAGGCCAAUCAAACCGGGAGAUAGCUGGUUCUCCCCGAAAGCUAUUUAGGUAGCGCCUCGUGAAUUCAUCUCCGGGGGUAGAGCACUGUUUCGGCAAGGGGGUCAUCCCGACUUACCAACCCGAUGCAAACUGCGAAUACCGGAGAAUGUUAUCACGGGAGACACACGGCGGGUGCUAACGUCCGUCGUGAAGAGGGAAACAACCCAGACCGCCAGCUAAGGUCCCAAAGUCAUGGUUAAGUGGGAAACGAUGUGGGAAGGCCCAGACAGCCAGGAUGUUGGCUUAGAAGCAGCCAUCAUUUAAAGAAAGCGUAAUAGCUCACUGGUCGAGUCGGCCUGCGCGGAAGAUGUAACGGGGCUAAACCAUGCACCGAAGCUGCGGCAGCGACGCUUAUGCGUUGUUGGGUAGGGGAGCGUUCUGUAAGCCUGUGAAGGUGUGCUGUGAGGCAUGCUGGAGGUAUCAGAAGUGCGAAUGCUGACAUAAGUAACGAUAAAGCGGGUGAAAAGCCCGCUCGCCGGAAGACCAAGGGUUCCUGUCCAACGUUAAUCGGGGCAGGGUGAGUCGACCCCUAAGGCGAGGCCGAAAGGCGUAGUCGAUGGGAAACAGGUUAAUAUUCCUGUACUUGGUGUUACUGCGAAGGGGGGACGGAGAAGGCUAUGUUGGCCGGGCGACGGUUGUCCCGGUUUAAGCGUGUAGGCUGGUUUUCCAGGCAAAUCCGGAAAAUCAAGGCUGAGGCGUGAUGACGAGGCACUACGGUGCUGAAGCAACAAAUGCCCUGCUUCCAGGAAAAGCCUCUAAGCAUCAGGUAACAUCAAAUCGUACCCCAAACCGACACAGGUGGUCAGGUAGAGAAUACCAAGGCGCUUGAGAGAACUCGGGUGAAGGAACUAGGCAAAAUGGUGCCGUAACUUCGGGAGAAGGCACGCUGAUAUGUAGGUGAAGUCCCUCGCGGAUGGAGCUGAAAUCAGUCGAAGAUACCAGCUGGCUGCAACUGUUUAUUAAAAACACAGCACUGUGCAAACACGAAAGUGGACGUAUACGGUGUGACGCCUGCCCGGUGCCGGAAGGUUAAUUGAUGGGGUUAGCCGCAAGGCGAAGCUCUUGAUCGAAGCCCCGGUAAACGGCGGCCGUAACUAUAACGGUCCUAAGGUAGCGAAAUUCCUUGUCGGGUAAGUUCCGACCUGCACGAAUGGCGUAAUGAUGGCCAGGCUGUCUCCACCCGAGACUCAGUGAAAUUGAACUCGCUGUGAAGAUGCAGUGUACCCGCGGCAAGACGGAAAGACCCCGUGAACCUUUACUAUAGCUUGACACUGAACAUUGAGCCUUGAUGUGUAGGAUAGGUGGGAGGCUUAGAAGUGUGGACGCCAGUCUGCAUGGAGCCGACCUUGAAAUACCACCCUUUAAUGUUUGAUGUUCUAACGUUGACCCGUAAUCCGGGUUGCGGACAGUGUCUGGUGGGUAGUUUGACUGGGGCGGUCUCCUCCUAAAGAGUAACGGAGGAGCACGAAGGUUGGCUAAUCCUGGUCGGACAUCAGGAGGUUAGUGCAAUGGCAUAAGCCAGCUUGACUGCGAGCGUGACGGCGCGAGCAGGUGCGAAAGCAGGUCAUAGUGAUCCGGUGGUUCUGAAUGGAAGGGCCAUCGCUCAACGGAUAAAAGGUACUCCGGGGAUAACAGGCUGAUACCGCCCAAGAGUUCAUAUCGACGGCGGUGUUUGGCACCUCGAUGUCGGCUCAUCACAUCCUGGGGCUGAAGUAGGUCCCAAGGGUAUGGCUGUUCGCCAUUUAAAGUGGUACGCGAGCUGGGUUUAGAACGUCGUGAGACAGUUCGGUCCCUAUCUGCCGUGGGCGCUGGAGAACUGAGGGGGGCUGCUCCUAGUACGAGAGGACCGGAGUGGACGCAUCACUGGUGUUCGGGUUGUCAUGCCAAUGGCACUGCCCGGUAGCUAAAUGCGGAAGAGAUAAGUGCUGAAAGCAUCUAAGCACGAAACUUGCCCCGAGAUGAGUUCUCCCUGACUCCUUGAGAGUCCUGAAGGAACGUUGAAGACGACGACGUUGAUAGGCCGGGUGUGUAAGCGCAGCGAUGCGUUGAGCUAACCGGUACUAAUGAACCGUGAGGCUUAACCUUACAACGCCGAAGCUGUU
rnacentral:rRNA from 1 species